UACAUUUUCCUAUUAUAAAUCAUUGUUACUUGACAAAUCACAUCUGGUAUUGAAGUUUUCGAACAUGACAAUUUUUACUAUCAAUGUUCAUGGUGCCUACAUUUUUUGGUUGAGUAACUACUACGUCAAAAUACCACAUCAGGUAUGAUAAAAAAAAAAACCACAUCUGGUAUAUUUGAUUUUAGAAAAAGAUAAGCUCCACCGUCAAUAUUGUGAAAAAUGACUACUUCAAAAUACCACAACUUUUAUGGAACUGAGUAUAUAUAUGUAUGUAUAUAUAACGAUUGAUUUUUACUUCAUUAUUAGAUUUUCAAUCUUAGAGUUAUUUAUUUCUUCAAGCGACAAAUGUUAGCAAUUUUGUUUGGGAUGUAACAUAGACGGAUUUAUAAAUUCGAUAUGCCGAGGGCCAAUUUUUUUAAUUUAUUUUAAUAUUAAAUAAUUAUUAUUUUUGACAAUAAUAUUAAAUAUUUAUUAAAAUCACAUAACCUAAAAAUUAAAAUAGAUGAAAAAUAAUUGAUCUAUUAUUAUCUUUUUUUACAUAUUCCUUAAAUCCAAAUAAACAACGGUCAAACAAAUAUGGAAUAAAAAAUUCCAAACAUGGAAUAAAAAAGUCCAAACAUGACUUUUUAUUUUUUAUAUAAGCGUAAAAACAAACCAAUUUUUGUCUCUAACUGUGAAUAAUGAGUUCAGUGCUUUUGGCAAAUUGGUAAUGAAAAUGAAUGAACGGUGGUACUUAUAUUUUAGAUAUCGAGUUCGAUCUCUAUUGAACACUUAUGCCUUAUAGGACUAUCAGCUAGAUUUCUUUAGGAUUAUCAAUGGAGUCGAUCCAUGAGGCACACCCUUUUUUCCAAGCACAAACUCAAGUUUAUUGAUGGAACACUUCCAAUCCCAUCUCAUUAAGACAACAACUUUGAAUCUUGGGAACAUCGUAAGGUGAUGAUCUUUUCUUGGAUCACUCAAUUCGUCUCUUCAUUGAUUGCUCAAAGCAUUGUCUAUACUGAAAAUGCCAUUGAUCUAUGGAAUGAACUAAAUGAUCGCUUUAUCAAAGGUAAUCGUUUUCGGUUUUCAAAUCUUCUCCGCGAAAUUCAUUCAAUAUGUCAAGGUGAGCAUUCCAUGACUACUUUUUAUACUGUUUUGAAAACCAUUUGGAUCGAACUUGAUCAAUUACGUCCUCUAGCUUCGUGCAUUUGUACAAAACCUUGUGUUUGUUAUCCAAAUAUUCAGAAAAAUCUAAAGAACCUUAAAGAUUACGAGUUUGUUAUUUCUUUCCUCAAAGGCCUCAAUGACUAAUUUUCUUCUGUUAAUACCCAAAUCCUCAUGUUGGACCCUUUACCCCCAAUUUACAAUGUCCUUGCUUCGGCUAUUCAACAAGAAGGUCAAAUUUUCACCACUACAAGUAAUUUUGUGUGAUCCCACAAUUCUUUCUUCUUCAUCCGAUUAUCAACAACCAAAAUUCACUCAUCCUUAUGGUCGCAGUCAUGAUUCUGGGGAAACCACCUAAUUCUAGAUCUUCUAAAAUGUGCAAUUUUUGUGGAAAAGGGCGACAUACUAUAGAAUCAUGCUAUUAUAAACAUGGAUUCCUCUUGGAUAUAAGUUUCACAAUCGUUCUCCUAUGGCAUAUAACAUUGUUAUUGAUGAUGAAGACACCGAAGAAAGCAUUCAACCACAACAUUAUUCUUCCUUUGAUGCAUCAAACAAUAUUACCAUUUAUAGCACUCAAUAUCAACAAUUUUUAGAAUAUAUUAGUUAUGUCCAUAACAACCAAUGGUCUAAUAAUUUCGUCAAUUCUAUCAUUGGUGAGUCUCCUUUUUCUGCAUGUCUUAUCUCUUCCAACAAAAAUUCAUGUAUUUCCUCUUCUUUACCCUAUUGAGUUUUCGAUAGUGACACAACUGACCAUGUAACAAAUUCUUUAUCUUACUUUACUGAAUAUCAUCAUAUAUCUCUCUGUAAAAUAAAAUUAUCCAAUGGCUCUGUUACUCACACUGUUCAUGCUGACACAAUUAAAUUGUCUCCUGAUCUCAUCUUAUAUGAUGUGUUAUUUAUUCCUGACUUUCAAUUCAAUAUUAUAUAUAUUCAUAAAUUGAUUGUUUCUUUAAAUUGUAACUUGAUCUUCACUAAACCUUCUUGUUUCAUUCAGGAUCCUCAUCAUCCAAGAUGAUUAGAUAUGUUGAAGUUCAUGAAGGACUUUAUAUUCUGGACAAUUAUGUUUUUUCUGUUCAACAUAAUUAUGUUGUUACUUGUAAUAUUUCCCAUUGUCUUGAUAAUAACUCUUUCAACAUUAUGACCAAAUCUUUUGAUAUUUGACACUAUCACUUAGGUCACCGUUCUAAUUAUAUUUUAAAGAAUAUUGCUACUCAAUUUCCUUUUGUUAAGUUUCAUUGUAAUAAAAAUUUGUGACUAUUGUCAUUUAGCAAAUCAAUCUAAG
rnacentral:lncRNA from 1 species